rnacentral:ncRNA from 1 species
CAAUAUUCCUCGGGGUGCUUUGCGCUGUAACAGGCAAAAGGCUGAGAUAAUACCCGUAGAACCUGAACAGGGUAAUGCCUGCGAAGGGAAAGGCCAGCUUUCUUUUG